ACACAGCUCCUGUUGAGCUGCGUGAGAAGCUUGCUAUUCCUGAAGUUGAGUGGCCACGAGCUAUCGCUGAGUUAUGCGGUUUGAAUCAUAUCGAAGAAGCUGCUGUUCUCAGUAUUUGCAACCGCAUGGAGAUUUAUGUCCUGGCUCUCUCUCAGCAUCGUGGUGUCAAAGAAGUUACCAUUUACCAACUGCGCUUUUCCAACUUUUUAUAUUUCCACUCUUUAGAGGAAAAGGAUAUUAGCUUAAGUGGGGAACAUGUUAGGGAGGGAUUGACCUGCAUUGUCUCAGUCAAGGUUCCUAAUCCUGAGUUUGAAGGUCAAACAAAGACAAGACUAGGAAAUCCAGAGGUGAGAAAAAUUGUUGACAAAUCAGUCCGGAGUACUUGGAAUUGCAUCCGGAUGUACUUGAAAGCAUUAUUUCCAAAUCCUUGAAGGCGUACAAGGCUGCUAAGAGGGCUAGGGAAUUGGUGAGAUCAAAAAGCGCUUUGAGGUCAUCUUCGCUUCAUGGGAAACUUGCAGAUUGCUCAUCUACAGAUCCUGCAGAAUCUGAGAUUUUCAUUGUUGAAGGAGAUUCUGCUGGUGGCAACGCGAAACAGGGUCGUGACAGGCGUUUCCAGGAGAUGCUUCCUUUAAAAAUUUUGAAUAUUGAUUGAGAGAAAGAAUGAAGCAGCCAUGUAUAAGAACGAAGAAAUUCAAAAUCUAAUUCUUGGCCUUGGCCUUGGAGUCAAGGGAGAAGAUUUCAACAAGGAGAAUCUACGUUACCAUAAAAUUAUCGUACUAACAGAUGCAGAUGUUGAUGGUGCACAUAUCCUGACUCUUCUGUUGACCUUUUUCUUCAGAUAUCAGAGAGCCCUGUUUGACGCUGGUUGCAUAUAUGUGGGUGUUCCACCUCUUUUCAAGGUUGAGAGGGGGAAUCAGGCGCACUAUUGCUACGAUGAUGCAGCAAUAAGAUCAAGUGUGCUUUGUCUUUUUUUCUUUUUCUUUUAAAGGUUAAUUGGCGAAUUUGAUCAAGUGUAUGUUAAAUGGCGAAUCUUUAGCAAUGAAGCAAGUAGGAACAUUCAACAUGUGUCACGCAGUACUUAAGAAAGGAGGGACUGGGAGAGACUCAUCAAGUGGUGGCGGUUCGAUUAUUAUAUGAAAGAUAUAACAUAUGUUUUCUCUUCAUGAUAUAUUCGUCCAAAAUUAUAAACAGAGAUUUCAUCAGCAAUAUGCUUCUUAAAAGGGAAAGCAUAUGGAGCGUUACAAAACUCGCCUCCAUUUACCACUCGUGAUAACAUUGGCCUCUGUUAUAUCCUCGACUGUGUCAAAUGCGCUGCUUGGGACUCAAAUCAGCUUUCACAGUUCCCUCAUACGACCUGCAGUCAGCUGCAGCCGCCGGUCCUCGUAGCCGCCGGUCCAAAAUCUUCUGUCGUAGCCGCCGGUCCGAGUCACUGAAUAUCUCCUUCGUCACUUAUUUCUGCCGGAAAUCACUUCGCCAGAAGCGGCUAUGAGUUUCUCUACUCUCUUGGCAGUCGUCGGAAGGUUGUCCAACAGAUGCCUCUGAUUCCGUCGACAACACAGCCGAAGGAGACGAAGGGUAAGCAUAUUCAAAAAACAUUACUCAAUUCUAGUGGACCACAGCGGGCUAGGUUUUCAUCAUAUUGUGGACCAGAUCUGUCAAAAUCCUAUAUGUUGUCCAUUAUUAGGAAUGUGGACGGGAAUAAUGCCUUUUAAUUUUGUCCACCAUAACAUGUCUACCGUAUACUUUGCUCCCUACAUUGUUGUAGUCUAUCGUCCUUUACAUAUUGUCUAUUACAUUUUCAUAUAUUUCUACCAGUCAAUGUUGUCUAUUACA